rnacentral:rRNA from 1 species
GUCUACCGCCAUGCUAUCGAACAAGUCCGAUCCCAUCUGAUCUUGGAAGCUAAUCAGGGUUGGGCCUGGUUAGUACUUGGAUGGGAGACCACCUAGGAAGACAAGGUGCUAUAGGCA